rnacentral:rRNA from 1 species
GUGGCGAACGGGUGAGUAACACGUGGGUAACCUACCUCAUAGUGGGGGAUAACAGUCGGAAACGACUGCUAAUACCGCAUAGGACAUGGAAUCACAUGAUUCCGUGAGGAAAGGUGGCGCAAGCUAUCGCUAAGAGAUGGACCCGCGGUGCAUUAGCUAGUUGGUAGGGUAACGGCCUACCAAGGCGAUGAUGCAUAGCCGACCUGAGAGGGUGAUCGGCCACAUUGGGACUGAGACACGGCCCAAACUCC